AACGUAGGUCCCGAGCGUUAUCCGGAUUUACUGGGCGUAAAGCGUGUUCAGGCGGUCUAGCAAGUCGGGCAUGAAAUCUCUCGGCUCAACCGGGAGGGGUUGUCCGAUACUGCUGGGCUUGAGGGCAGCAGAGGGUGGUGGAAUUCCGGGUGUAGUGGUGAAAUGCGUAGAUAUCCGGAGGAACACCGGUGGCGAAGGCGGGUCUCUGGGCCGUAACUGACGCUGAGGAGCGAAAGCAUGGGUAGCGAACAGG
rnacentral:rRNA from 1 species